rnacentral:lncRNA from 1 species
UUUGAAUCAUCUUAACACCUAUAUCAUCUCACUUCAUUCGGACAGCACGGAAGGAACACAACGGAAGCCUUGAAACUAUAACACUUCAAAACUCCACGCAUAUACAUUGACAGAAACUAGUUUGAGUUAGCAGAAAGGGAAAUGGGCAUUGGAGCAGCUGAGAUGAUGUUCCGGUGUAUCAAUGCAAGACUGUUUGAUGGAACGGAGGCCUUACUGUACAAGCCCAUUUUUGAAACCCGGGCCCAAUUACAAUACAAAACCCGAAUAGCCCAACAACCCAAAUUUAGCCCCUAACAGACCUAACCCAGCAAAACCAAGCCCAACUAACCUACCCAAUAACCCACAAGCCCAAUUACAAAACCAGCCCAAUACCCUAGCCCAUCCUUCCCAAAAAAAAUAUCUGCCUAAGGUUCUGAAACCCUAGGCGCCGCCCUCUUUGACCUUUGGUCUCUACCAUCGCCACUCCGCGCCGCACCUACCACCACCUGCUCCCAUCACCACUAGCAUCUGCAAAGGAGAAAGAAGCAAGGAAAAACUAUAUCAAAAACAGUAACAAAAAAUGGGCUAUAAAAGCCGAUUUUAACUCAAUUUCAGGGGCUUCUUUUUUUUCUUCUUUUUUCAACCUUUG